CGCGGCCUAUCAGCUUGUUGGUGAGGUAACGGCCCACCAAGGCGACGACGGGUAGCCGGCCUGAGAGGGUGACCGGCCACACUGGGACUGAGACACGGCCCAGACUCCUACGGGAGGCAGCAGUGGGGAAUAUUGCACAAUGGGCGCAAGCCUGAUGCAGCAACGCCGCGUGAGGGACGACGGCCUUCGGGUUGUAAACCUCUUUUAGCAGGGAAGAGGCGAAAGUGACGGUACCUGCAGAAAAAGCACCGGCUAACUACGUGCCAGCAGCCGCGGUAAUACGUAGGGUGCAAGCGUUGUCCGGAAUUAUUGGGCGUAAAGAGCUCGUAGGCGGUUUGUCGCGUCUGCUGUGAAAACGCGGGGCUCAACCUCGCGCCUGCAGUGGGUACGGGCAAGCUGGAGUGCGGUAGGGGAGAUUGGAAUUCCUGGUGUAGCGGUGGAAUGCGCAGAUAUCAGGAGGAACACCAAUGGCGAAGGCAGAUCUCUGGGCCGUAACUGACGCUGAGGAGCGAAAGCAUGGGGAGCGAACAGGAUUAGAUACCCUGGUAGUCCAUGCCGUAAACGUUGGGAACUAGAUGUAGGGACCAUUCCACGGUUUCUAUGUCGCAGCUAACGCAUUAAGUUCCCCGCCUGGGGAGUACGG
rnacentral:rRNA from 1 species